UGGCUCAGUUGGUAGAGCAUUGUGUUUGCAAUGCCAGGGUUGUGGGUUCGAUUCCCAC
rnacentral:tRNA from 1 species